rnacentral:SRP_RNA from 1 species
GCUGGGUGUGGUGGCCCACACUUGUAAUCCUAGCACUUUGGGAGGCCGAGGCGGGCGGAUCACCUGAGGUCAGGAGUUCAAGACUAGCCUGGCCAACAUGGUGAAACCCCGUCUCUA